GGCUCGAUCCUGGCUCAGAUUGAACGCUGGCGGGAUGCUUUACACAUGCAAAGUCGAAACGCAGCACGGACUUCGGCCCAGUGUGGCGAGUGGCGAACGGGUGAGUAAUGUAUCGGAACGCCGUAGUGGGGAUAACUACGCAAAGCGUAGUUGACAUCACAAUACCCUUCGGGAAGGGGGACCUUUCGGGCCUCGCACUAUUAGAGCGGCCGAUAUCGGAUUAGCUAGUUGGUGGGGUAACGGCUCACCAAGGCGACGAUCCGUAGCUGGUUUGAGAGGACGACCAGCCACACUGGGACUGAGACACGGCCCAGACUCCUACGGGAGGCAGCAGUGGGGAAUUUUGACAAUGGGGAACCUGAUCCAGCCAUCCUGCGUGUGCGAUGAAGGCCUCUGGGUUGUAAAGCACUUUUGGCAGGAAAGAAACGGCACGGGAUAAUACUCCGUGCAACUGACGGUACCUGCAGCAAUGGGCACCGGCUAACUACGUGCCAGCAGCCGCGGUAAUACGGGGUGCAAGCAGCACCGGAAUUACUGGGCGUAAAGCGUGCGCAGGCGGUUCGGAAAGCAGAUGUGAAAUCCCAGAGCUUAACUUUGAACUGCAUUUUUAACUACUGAGCUAGAGUGUGUCAGAGGGAGGUGAAUUCCCGCGUGUAGCAGUGAAAUGCGUAGAUAUGCGGAGGAACACCGAUGGCGAAGGCAGCCUCCCGGGAUAACACUGACGCUCAUGCACAGCGUGGGGAGCAAACAGGAUUAGAUAAUUCUGGUAGUCCACGCCCUAAACGAUGUCAACUAGCUGUUGGGGCCUUCGGCUUCCGUAGCGCAGCUAAUCGCAGAAGUUGACCGCCUGGGGAGAGCACGGUCGCAAGAUUAAAACCCAAAGGAAUUGACGGGGACCCGCACAAGCGGUGGAUGAUGGGAUUAAUUCGAUGCAACGCGAAAAACCUUACCUACCCUUGACAUGUCUGGAAUCCCGAAGAGGAUUUGGGAGUGCUCGCGUAAGAGAACCGGAACACAGGUGCCAUAUGGCUGUCGUCAGUCGUGUCGUGAGAUGUUGGGUUAAGUCCUGCAACGAGCGCAACCCUUGUCAUUGCUGCCACUGAAAGCGGGCACUCUAAUGGGAGAUCGCCGGUGACAAACCGGAGGGAAGGUGGGGACAGUCGUCAAGUCCUCAUGCAGUUCUGCGGGCAGGGUCAACAUCGUCAGUACAAUGGCUCUGGACAGAGGGUCGCCAACCCGCGAGGGGGGAGCCAUCCCAGAAACCCGAUCGUAGUCCGGAUCGCAGUCGUAACUCGACUGCGUGAAGUCGGAAAUCGGCGCAUAAUCGCGGAUCAGCAUGUCGCGGUGAAUACGUUCCCGGUCUUGUACACACCGUCACACCAUGGGAGUGGUUUUACCAGAAGUAGUUAGCCUAACCGUAAGGGGAGGGCGAUUACCACGGUAGAGAUUCGCGACUGGGGUGAAGUCGUAACAAGGCAAUCCC
rnacentral:rRNA from 1 species